rnacentral:rRNA from 1 species
UUCGCAAUGCCCGAAAGGGUGACGAAGCGACGCCGCGUGGGUGAGGAAGGCCCUCGGGUUGUAAAGCCCUGUCAGGAGUUAAGAAAUGUAAGUGCGCUAAUAUCGCAUUUAUUUGACGAAGGCUCCAAAGGAAGUCACGGCUAACUCUGUGCCAGCAGCCGCGGUAAUACAGAGGUGGCAAGCGUUGUUCGGAAUUAUUGGGCGUAAAGAGCACGUAGGUGGGUUUGUAAGUCAGAUGUGAAAGCCUUCUGUUCAACGGAAGAAUUGCAUCUGAAACUGCGAGUCUUGAGUGUAGGAGGGGAGAAUGGAACUUCUGGUGGAGCGGUGAAAUGCGUAGAUAUCAGAAGGAACGCCGGCGGCGAAAGCGAUUCUCUGGCCUAUUACUGACACUCAGUGUGCAAAAGCUAGGGGAGCAAACGGGAUUAGAUACCCCGGUAGUCCUAGCCGUAAACGAUGGGCACUAAGUAGAGGGGUUUU